rnacentral:rRNA from 1 species
GACGUAGGGGGCCAGCGUUGUUCGGAAUUACUGGGUGUAAAGGGUUCGUAGGCGGUGCGGCAAGUUGGGAGUGAAAUCUCUGGGCUUAACCCAGAGGCUGCUUCCAAAACUGCUGUGCUUGAGUGUGGGAGAGGCGCGUGGAAUUGCAGGUGUAGCGGUGAAAUGCGCAGAUAUCAGGAGGAACACCAAUAGCGAAGGCAGCUCGCUGGGACGGUACUGACGCUAAGGCGCGAAAGCGUGGGGAGCGAACAGG